rnacentral:tRNA from 1 species
AGUAAAAUGGCUGAAUUUAGGCGAUAAAUUGUAAAUUUAUUUAUGAAUUGAUUUCUUUUACUA